AUCCAACUGACGAGUCUCAGACAGGACGAAACACUUGUUAUGAAU
rnacentral:hammerhead_ribozyme from 1 species